UCCUCCGAGACAGACUAGCGCUCGCCGCUCGGACGUCCCUCGCGGGACUAGUGUAUAUAUAUAUAUGUAUAUACAAUAUCUAUGAAUAUAUAUAUAUAUAUAUAUCUACACACGGGUGAUAUUAAGAUUUGGUAUGGAUGCACGCUUGGAGUUCCACUUCCAGAGAUCAUGGCAUCAAUAUAUAGGGGAGACGUGACGCCUCUAAUAUCGCGGCCCAUUGCCCCUAAUAAUGUUAUACACCCAGCCUCCAUCGUCCCCUCCGCUCACUCCUGAAACUUAACGAACUGUCCCUUCCCCUUUCUCUUCUCUCUUUAUCUCUAGAAGAGGCUCCACCACCACGAGGCAGCGCCGGUCGCCUUCAACACCACCACCGGAUCCGCCUCCACCAACACUAGAGCAUAUACAAGAUUGAAGGCAAAAGGGAAAAUUGAAGGAGAAAUUCACCGAGGUAAAGACGACCGCACCAAGUGUCAAGUAUCACAACCAAUUGCAUCAAUUUACUACCGGCAAGAUAGAAAAAUUGUGCGAUUUCUUGACAUCUAAUGUGUUUCCUUCACCAUCUAAGCAUCCUACCCAACAAUAAAAUCAUCGACAAGAUGACUAAAUUGCAUGCAUGGAACUUAGUAUUAAUUGUGAUUGAUAUGGGAGAAAAAAAAUGUUAACUAAAAAUCACAAUUUUCAAUAAUUGACCUGUGAAAGCUUACAACAGGUAAGCAUAAUACAUUCAAUGUGUAGUUUUAAUCUCAUGACCAUCAAAUAAGGUCAAUUGCGCAUUUUAGAAUUUCUAACAUUACCAAAAUAGAAACAAGAAAUUGGUGAUAAUAUUCAUGAUUAAUGCACCAAUAAUAAUCGGUAGUUUAUUUCAAAUUAUCCAUAGUAUAUGCCUAAAAGAAUUUAUAAUAAUAACAAAAAUUCACAAAAUUACAAGAGGCAUAUACAACAAAAUUAUGGAAAAUAAAUCGAGGUUGGCC